GUAGCAUAAUCACUUGCCCAUUAAUUGUGGGCUAGAAUGAAUGGAAAAACGAAGUAAUAGCUGUCUCUAGUAGUACCAUAAAAACUAAUCUUCCAGUGAAGAAGCUGAAAUAAAAUCACAGGACAAGAAGACCCUAUAGAGCUUUAUUUUUAAUACAUAUAUUAAAUGUAAAAAAAUUCAGUUGGGGCGACUAAGGAAAAAUCAUCCUAAAACAUAAAAGACUUACAAGUCAAUUAAAAGAUCCUAAAUAAUAGAUCAAAGAAAUAAGCUACCUUAGGGAUAACAGGCUAAUCCUCCUGGAAAGUCCAAAUUUAUAGGA
rnacentral:rRNA from 1 species